UCUCUGCGUUUCUGAUAAUGUCAUCUCUGGUCGCGACGACGAUGGCGCCAUCAUUCUACUUCGUGUGUUUGGGAUUGUUUGACUAAGAUAUUUUGUUGUGACUUCUGCUUCUGUUUUGUAGCACUGCUUUUAUUUUGUUUUUUUGCUCGAGGCUGUUUAGUCUGGUUGUCACAUUUAAUCUGAUUUAGACCUCGAGAAAAGUGGUGCGUGUGAAGUGGACUUCCGGCACAUGACAGACGGACAUUGUAAGAGCUGCCGUGAGACAAAUGACAGUGAAGUUCAUGCUGUCAUGAGGGAGAGUCUAAAGAGAUUUCAGAACAAGUGAGCAUUACAAACUGUUUCGUAAAAAAGGUCUGUUGUGUAAGAAACGUUAAGCAGUUUGUGAAGUUCUGUGAAUGCACCAAACAAAAUAGUUUGGAUUAACUCUCUUUUUUUAUUAUCUAUGCAUCUUCUACCCUUCAUUAGCCCUGAUAAUCAAUACAACAGGUGGGAAAGGGAAAUUCUU